rnacentral:tRNA from 1 species
GGAAGUUUGGGUGAGUGGCUGAAACCAGUAGUUUGCUAAACUGCCGAACGGGUAACCGUUCCGGGGGUUCGAAUCCCCCAGCUUCCG